rnacentral:rRNA from 1 species
GUGGGGAAUCUUGCGCAAUGGGCGAAAGCCUGACGCAGCCAUGCCGCGUGAAUGAUGAAGGUCUUAGGAUUGUAAAAUUCUUUCACCGGGGACGAUAAUGACGGUACCCGGAGAAGAAGCUCCGGCUAACUUCGUGCCAGCAGCCGCGGUAAUACGAAGGGGGCUAGCGUUGCUCGGAAUUACUGGGCGUAAAGGGCGCGUAGGCGGACAGCUUAGUCAGAGGUGAAAGCCCAGGGCUCAACCUUGGAAUUGCCUUUGAUACUGGCUGUCUUGAGUUUGGGAGAGGUGAGUGGAACUCCGAGUGUAGAGGUGAAAUUCGUAGAUAUUCGGAAGAACACCAGUGGCGAAGGCGGCUCACUGGUCCGGUACUGACGCUGAGGUGCGAAAGCGUGGGGAGCAAACAGGAUUAGAAACCCGUGUAGUCC